rnacentral:tRNA from 1 species
CGGGGCGUGGCGCAGGCCGGUAGCGCGCCUGGUUUGGGACCAGGAGGUCGCCGGUUCAAAUCCGGCCGCCCCGAC